UCCACUUAAUUUGAGGGCUGAGGGGAGAAGGUGUGUAUUUUAAGUGUUUGGAAUGCAUCCCUAUUGUGUUGUAUUGGGAUUGUGCCACGGAGCAUUAUGGGGGUUCUACGUGGUGAGAAAUUUAGUGACGUUGGAUAGAGAUUAAAAGUGAAUAAUGAUAUUUGAGCAUUUUUUUUAUAUUAUUAAAUUCAAAUUCGUUUUUUUUAAUACAGGAGAGCGAGGAGGUAUAUUACAUAGUUUUCUCGGAUUUAGAACUUUAUUUUUGUGUGCAGUUAGCAAGCCAAAUGUAAAUAAAUUAUACAAAUUCCGCUAGCUAGCGUUACCAGCGCGAGUGUGCAGUUAUCUCCUCCAGAAUGGUAGAAUGGCCAACGCUGCCGAAAAUGUUGUGGAUUUUUUUGGUUGAAAAAACAUUUUCAGUCUCUGGGGUACUCGGAAAAGGCGCGAAUUAAAAGCGAGGGUCGAACUCUGCUUGAGAUCGGUUUCAUGAAGAAGAAAGCAAGAUGGAUUGUAUUGAUGAGAGAAUCAAAAGAGCUUUAAGACGCCGCCCUUAUGUGUUGAAUCCAAUGAGGGUAAACACCCCUGAUUCUGUGAUGUGGCUAACCGGCAAAGGGGCACCGAAGAUCAAAGCCUCCAAUCGUUGUGAGCUGUGGGCAGGACCAAACAUCUGGGGAUGGAGCAUCAAUCCAGAGCUUCUCAGCCAGGUCAUCUCUGCUAUUCCCAUAGAGACACAACAGAUAGAUCAAUCUGUUGAUUCAUAUGGCCAUUUUGGUUGGCUUGGUUGAAUUGACAAUUAUCCAUUCGAGAUGCUAAAGAAUCGUAUACUG